rnacentral:rRNA from 1 species
ACGUAGGGGGCAAGCGUUGUCCGGAAUCAUUGGGCGUAAAGAGCGUGUAGGCGGCCCGAUAAGUCCGCCGUGAAAGCCCAGGGCUCAACCCUGGGAUGCCGGUGGAUACUGUCGGGCUAGAGUUCGGAAGAGGCAAGUGGAAUUCCUGGUGUAGCGGUGAAAUGCGCAGAUAUCAGGAGGAACACCUAUGGCGAAGGCAGCUUGCUGGGACGACACUGACGCAGAGACGCGAAAGCGUGGGGAGCAAACAGGA